rnacentral:rRNA from 1 species
GACGAACGCUGGCGGCGUGCUUAACACAUGCAAGUCGAGCGGUAAGGCCCUUUCGGGGGUACGACGAGCGGCGAACGGGUGAGUAACACGUGGGUGACCUGCCUCUAGCUCUGGGAUAAGCCUGGGAAGCUGGGUCUAAUACCGGAUAUGACCUCGCGGUGCAUGUUGCGGGGUGGAAAGCCUUGUGCGGCUAGGGAUGGGCCCGCGGCCUAUCAGCUUGUUGGUGGGGUGANGGCCUACCAAGGCGACGACGGGUAGCCGGCCUGAGAGGGCGACCGGCCACACUGGGACUGAGACACGGCCCAGACUCCUACGGGAGGCAGCAGUGGGGAAUCUUGCGCAAUGGGCGAAAGCCUGACGCAGCGACGCGCGUGA